CCAGUACCGUGAGGGAAAGGCGAAAAGAACCCCGGCGAGGGGAGUGAAAAAGAACCUGAAACCGUGUACGUACAAGCAGUGGGAGCACGCUUAGGCGUGUGACUGCGUACCUUUUGUAUAAUGGGUCAGCGACUUAUAUUCUGUAGCAAGGUUAACCGAAUAGGGGAGCCGAAGGGAAACCGAGUCUUAACUGGGCGUUAAGUUGCAGGGUAUAGACCCGAAACCCGGUGAUCUAGCCAUGGGCAGGUUGAAGGUUGGGUAACACUAACUGGAGGACCGAACCGACUAAUGUUGAAAAAUUAGCGGAUGACUUGUGGCUGGGGGUGAAAGGCCAAUCAAACCGGGAGAUAGCUGGUUCUCCCCGAAAGCUAUUUAGGUAGCGCCUCGUGAAUUCAUCUCCGGGGGUAGAGCACUGUUUCGGCAAGGGGGUCAUCCCGACUUACCAACCCGAUGCAAACUGCGAAUACCGGAGAAUGUUAUCACGGGAGACACACGGCGGGUGCUAACGUCCGUCGUGAAGAGGGAAACAACCCAGACCGCCAGCUAAGGUCCCAAAGUCAUGGUUAAGUGGGAAACGAUGUGGGAAGGCCCAGACAGCCAGGAUGUUGGCUUAGAAGCAGCCAUCAUUUAAAGAAAGCGUAAUAGCUCACUGGUCGAGUCGGCCUGCGCGGAAGAUGUAACGGGGCUAAACCAUGCACCGAAGCUGCGGCAGCGACGCUUAUGCGUUGUUGGGUAGGGGAGCGUUCUGUAAGCC
rnacentral:rRNA from 1 species